rnacentral:rRNA from 1 species
UACAGAGGGUGCAAACGUUGCUCGGAUUCACUGGGCGUAAAGGGCACGUAGGUGGCCCGGUAACUCAGUCGUGGAAUCCCGCCGCCCACCGGUGGAAUUGCGACUGAAAAUGCCAGGCUUGAGAGCAGGAGGGGUGAGAGGAACUCUAGGUGGAGCGGUGAAAUGCGUAGAUAUCUAGAGGAACGCCGGAGGCGAAAGCGUCUCACUGGCCUGCUUCUGACACUGAGGUGCGAAAGCCAGGGGAGCAAACGGG